rnacentral:rRNA from 1 species
GAUGAACGCUGGCGGCGUGCUUAACACAUGCAAGUCGAACGAGAAUCAACGGAUUGAGGAUUCGUCCAAAUGAAGUUGAGGAAAGUGGCGGACGGGUGAGUAACGCGUGAGGAACCUGCCUCGGAGUGGGGAAUAACAGUUGGAAAUGACUGCUAAUACCGCAUAAGCGCACAGCUUCGCAUGAAGCGGUGUGAAAAACUCCGGUGGUAUGAGAUGGACCCGCGUCUGAUUAGCUAGUUGGUAAGGUAACGGCUUACCAAGGCGACGAUCAGUAGCCGACCUGAGAGGGUGACCGGCCACAUUGGGACUGAGACACGGCCCAA